rnacentral:rRNA from 1 species
GAUGAACGCUGGCGGCGUGCCUAAUACAUGCAAGUCGAGCGAACAGAUGAGGAGCUUGCUCCUCUGACGUUAGCGGCGGACGGGUGAGUAACACGUGGAUAACCUACCUAUAAGACUGGGAUAACUUCGGGAAACCGGAGCUAAUACCGGAUAAUAUAUUGAACCGCAUGGUUCAAUAGUGAAAGACGGUUUUGCUGUCACUUAUAGAUGGAUCCGCGCCGCAUUAGCUAGUUGGUAAGGUAACGGCUUACCAAGGCAACGAUGCGUAGCCGACCUGAGAGGGUGAUCGGCCACACUGGAACUGAGACACGGUCCAGACUCCUACGGGAGGCAGCAGUAGGGAAUCUUCCGCAAUGGGCGAAAGCCUGACGGAGCAACGCCGCGUGAGUGAUGAAGAUCUUCGGAUCGUAAAACUCUGUUAUUAGGGAAGAACGAAUGUGUAAGUAACUAUGCACGUCUUGACGGUACCUAAUCAGAAAGCCACGGCUAACUACGUG